GUGAGUAACACGUGGGCAACCUGCCCUGCACUCUGGGAUAACUUCGGGAAACCGGAGCUAAUACCGGAUAAUAUCUUCCACCGCAUGGUGGGGGGUUGAAAGUUCCGGCGGUGCAGGAUGGGCCCGCGGCCUAUCAGCUUGUUGGUGGGGUAGUGGCCUACCAAGGCGACGACGGGUAGCCGGCCUGAGAGGGCGACCGGCCACACUGGGACUGAGACACGGCCCAGACUCCUACGGGAGGCAGCAGUGGGGAAUAUUGCGCAAUGGGCGAAAGCCUGACGCAGCGACGCCGCGUGAGGGAUGACGGCCUUCGGGUUGUAAACCUCUUUCAGCAGGGAAGAAGCGAAAGUGACGGUACCUGCAGAAGAAGCACCGGCUAACUACGUGCCAGCAGCCGCGGUAAUACGUAGGGUGCGAGCGUUGUCCGGAAUUAUUGGGCGUAAAGAGCUCGUAGGCGGCCUGUCGCGUCGGAUGUGAAAACUCGGGGCUUAACCCCGAGCCUGCAUUCGAUACGGGCAGGCUAGAGUUCGGCAGGGGAGACUGGAAUUCCUGGUGUAGCGGUGAAAUGCGCAGA
rnacentral:rRNA from 1 species